GAUGAACGCUGGCGGCGUGCCUAAUACAUGCAAGUCGAGCGAACAGACGAGGAGCUUGCUCCUCUGACGUUAGCGGCGGACGGGUGAGUAACACGUGGAUAACCUACCUAUAAGACUGGGAUAACUUCGGGAAACCGGAGCUAAUACCGGAUAAUAUAUUGAACCGCAUGGUUCAAUAGUGAAAGACGGUUUUGCUGUCACUUAUAGAUGGAUCUGCGCCGCAUUAGCUAGUUGGUAAGGUAACGGCUUACCAAGGCAACGAUGCGUAGCCGACCUGAGAGGGUGAUCGGCCACAUGAGAACGGAAACACGGUCCAUGCUCCUGCGAGAGGCAGCAGAAGGGAAUCUGCCGCAAUGGGCGAAAGCCUGACGGAGCGACGCCGAGUGAGUGAUGAAGGUCUUCGGUUCGUAAAACUCUGUUAUUAGGGAAGAACAAAUGUGUAAGUAACUAUGCACGUCUUGACGGUACCUAAUCAGAAAGCAACGGCUAACUACGUG
rnacentral:rRNA from 1 species